AUCAUCCAGUAGGCGGGGCUCUCCUUCUGCACUGUGUUCAACCAUUGUGUCAAUAAUAAGUGCUGCUGUGAAGAGAACAAUUCUCAGACUGAAUGUUGAACAUCAGCUAGUUUCUCCUGUUGAUUUAAACCUUGUUGUACAGAUGGAACAUUGGCUGUGGAUUAUUCUUGCUGCUCUUUUCUUUGAGUGUAAAGGAGAAGACAAAGUGAUCCAGGAACAAGGAGAUGUCAUUGCUGCUGAAGGAGACACAGUUACACUUGACUGCAAAUACGAAACAACUUCUGCAUAUGCGACAUAUUUGUUCUGGUACAAACAAGAUGUGAACAACUUUCCAAAGUAUGUUUUAAGGCGAGACAGUACGGGAGCUGAAGAGAAUGCUCGAGAGUUCCCGAAGGACAGAUUUGAUGCUGAGCUCAACCAGACAUCAGUUUCUCUGAAGAUCCAGAAGCUUCAGCUGUCUGACUCUGCUGUGUACUACUGUGCUCUGCAGCCCACAGUGACAGGAAACAGCAAAACU